CUAAGACCAAUUUUUUUUUUUUUUUCAGUAAAAGAUUUGAGAGGGCAUAAUAUUGAAGAGUGGUGGCUUAGUUGCUAAGUUGUGUCUGACUCUUGGCAACGCCAUGGACUGUAGCCUGCCAGGCUCCUCUGUCCAUGGGAUUCUCUAGGCAAGAAUACUGGACUGGGUUGCCAUCUCCUUCUCCAGAGGAUCUUCCUGACCCAGGGAUUGAAUGCUGGUCUCCUGCAUUGCAGGUAGACUCUUUACCAACUGAGCUAGAAGGGAAGCCCGAUAUUGAAGAGAGGAUUAAGAGUUCUGAUUGCAAAUGGAGGGAAAUAAAUGUCAAGAUAAAUAAAAUUAAUGCGCUUUGGCAAAUAAAGGAAGCUGGAAAUACCAAAGAGAGAUGAAAUGUUGCUCCCUCCCCCAAACACACAGACUAAAGUCAACUAUGUUUGGCAAUUCUUGCUUCUUCCAGGAAGAAGUCCCUGAAAAUUCUCACAAAACAUCUCAUUCAUUAUUGUAUUUGAAUAAUAAAGUGGCACAUU
rnacentral:lncRNA from 1 species